CCUACGGGUGACAGCAGUGAGGAAUAUUGGUCAAUGGGCGGGAGCCUGAACCAGCCAAGUCGCGUGAAGGAAGAAGGUACUUAGUAUUGUAAACUUCUUUUGUCGGGGAACAAAGGCGGAGACGCGUCUCCGGAUGAGUGUACCCGAAGAAAAAGCAUCGGCUAACUCCGUGCCAGCAGCCGCGGUAAAACGGAGGAUGCGAGCGGUAUCCGGAUUUAUUGGGGUUAAGGGGUGCGCAGGCGGGAGAUCAAGUCAGAGGUAAAAUGUCGGGGCUAAACCCCUGCCGGCCGUUGAAACUGGUUAUCGAGAGUUGGAGAGAAGUAUGCGGAAUUCGUGGUGUAGCGGUGAAAUGCAUAGAUAUUACGAAGAACUCCGAUUGCGAAGGCAGCAUACCGACUCCAUACUGACGCUGAGGCACGAAAGCGUGGGGAUCGAACAGGAUUAGAUACCCGGGUAGUC
rnacentral:rRNA from 1 species